UACGAAGGGGGCUAGCGUUGCUCGGAAUCACUGGGCGUAAAGGGUGCGUAGGCGGGUAUUUAAGUCAGGGGUGAAAUCCUGGAGCUCAACUCCAGAACUGCCUUUGAUACUGAGGAUCUUGAGUUCGGGAGAGGUGAGUGGAACUGCGAGUGUAGAGGUGAAAUUCGUAGAUAUUCGCAAGAACACCAGUGGCGAAGGCGGCUCACUGGCCCGAUACUGACGCUGAGGCACGGAAGCGUGGGGAGCAAACAGG
rnacentral:rRNA from 1 species